GACGGAGGAUGCAAGUGUUAUCCGGAAUCACUGGGCGUAAAGAGCGUGUAGGCGGGUAAAUAAGUUUGAAGUGAAAUCCUAUGGCUCAACCAUUGAACUGCUUUGAAAACUGUUUAUCUAGAAUAUGGGAGAGGUAGAUGGAAUUUCUGGUGUAGGGGUAAAAUCCGUAGAGAUCAGAAGGAAUACCGAUUGCGAAGGCGAUCUACUGGAACAUUAUUGACACUCAGAUGCGAAAGCGUGGGGAGCAAACAGG
rnacentral:rRNA from 1 species